rnacentral:rRNA from 1 species
UACCAGCACCCCGAGUGGUCGGGACGAUUAUUGGGCCUAAAGCAUCCGUAGCCGGUCCUACAAGUCUUCCGUUAAAUCCACCUGCUUAACAGAUGGGCUGCGGAAGAUACUAUAGGGCUAGGAGGCGGGAGAGGCAAGCGGUACUCAGUGGGUAGGGGUAAAAUCCUCUGAUCCAUUGAAGACCACCAGUGGCGAAGGCGGCUUGCCAGAACGCGCUCGACGGUGAGGGAUGAAAGCUGGGGGGAGCAAAGCCGG